AAGUGGCAUACAAAAAGACAAAAGUGCGGAUGUGAGUCAUUUCAGAUCUGCACAAAGCUCAGAAGCGGAGCUUUCAUAGCAUUCUAAGAGAGAAUCAAAGCUUGGGGAGUAUAAAUCGUGCUAGCCGAUCGAUGUAUCAUCAUUACAGUAUCAUCUAGGUCCACCUUGUUUUAAUUUACAGACAUUCUAAUAUAUUUUCAGUCGUUUCUACUCUAUUCUCUGGUAAAGUUAUGAAGGUUUCAUCUGGCUUUUGCCAUCAUCUACUAGGGUUUCUGGUUCUUCACAUAUUUCGAUGAGGUUUUGUUCUUGAUCGGUGCUUUUAAGCUCCAUCUGGAUAAGAUCUAGCUCGAUCUAGACUGGUUCGGUCGUUCAGAUUUAGUUCUGUGGCUUAAUAGUGGGAUCAAGAUAUGUUUCAGCCCUUCAGGUGUGACAGGACAACCAUUGAGAAUAAUAUCCAUCAUCUGUUGGAGCUAUCCUGCCAUUUGAAUCAAAAAUAGAACAUUUUUCAUGGUUUAAUAUCAAUUUCAAGUUCUAUCAUCUCGCCUUACCAUCUAUGCAGCAAUAGACAAGAUUUGUUACAGAGCUAUUAGAAGCUAAGUGCACGGAAGGUGACCUAGCUUGUGAAAGAAAACCUAUUCUAGUUGGAGACGCUUGUUGUUGUGGCUCAACAUCGGAAUCAAUAUUACAACAGAAGCAAGCCCGGUCUCCCUAAUAGAUUCGUUUCUUCUCCGUCUAAAGGGUUCAGGGAAAUCAAUUGCAAAACUUUUCAAUCUGGGGCAGGUAUCUUGCCAAACCUUUUGAAGUCCUACAAUGGCUCUUCUGCAAUUAGAAGGACUAGUUCUUCCCCUCCAAACCUUUUCAAUCUGGGGCAGGUAUCUUGCUGAUGGACGUGAACAUGGCGAUGAAUAGCACCAGGUGGUUCAGGGUGUCAUUCUGUGCCUUUGCUCGGGCCUUCACGAGUACAUCCGGAUGCGAGUCCAAGAGCGUCAAAGCCCAGAGCAACGAUGACGUCGAAGCGUCCUGCGUGGCGAACAAGAAGUCGAAAAUAUGCCCAAACAUAGUGUCGAUUUCCUUCGACUUGCUCUGGCCAGCGUACACGGUGUCAGGCUUUCCUCGUCAUCGUUGUCGUCGUCAUCUUCGCCUUGCUGUCCAGUGCUGGGAGGUUUGCUAGAGCUUGAAGUAAGGGUAAUUUUGAUAUUUUUAAAAAUCUUAAAUCGCACAUGUGAUCACGUGCAGUCUACUAACAUAGGUACUAGAUUGUUGCAAAACAAAAGUUUGAGAAUUAUAUCGUUACAUUUUAAAGUUUGGGUACUAAAUUGGCAUUCAACCUAAAGUACAAGAUACCUAUCAGGAUUUUCCCUAAUAAAAUGGGGUUGAUACAUGCUGUCCCAAAACCUGACCCGAUCCACUGAUGGCUCUAGAUCUAGAAGGACUCUUUGACAUAACUUGAUCUAGGGAAUCAUGAAUAUGUGGAUGUAGGCUUAAGGCUCAAUGGAAUGACCCAAGAUAUUUAAACAACCCAUUCGAGUUUGGACAAGCAUAAGGCAAGGUUUGUGAAGAUUCCAGGAUUGGGUCUAUAUAAUGAUACUUUGUAAUCAGUUUUAUAACCAGUGUGUUCUUCU